GUCCUCCAUAGUUUGAAUGGCUUGUGUUUGUGUGGUGUGGAUGUGUUUGUGAGAGAGCGUUUGGCGAGUGCUUGGAUGAGUGAAUUUGGAGUGUUUGUUAGUGUGAAUGUUAGUGUGUAUUUCUUAAAAAAAAAAAACCUACACAGUGAUCUUAUUUGAUCCGGUCUGAGUUCGGCUCUGCUCUGAUCGGAGAUGAUAGGAAAAGCGCUCGCGAGCCUCCGUGGCGAUGAGCAGCAGGCGAGAUUUUAAGCUCCAGGGCCUUCCACUGCUUUAUGUUGUGGUAAGAGGUGAUGAAUUGAUCAGAUAUACUAGUCCUGGGUGAGUUUGAGGUUCACCUCAAGCCUCACGGUGGACAAUGAGUAAAGAGGCGAUUCUGAUCUAA